AAAGAUCGCAGCCUUCGGCAGCUCCUACAGGGUCUACUCAGUCCCGGUGUAGGAGCUGCCGAAGGCUGCGAUCUUU
rnacentral:antisense_RNA from 1 species